GCAGAAACAUUCCAGCCAAUCAGCAGCAGACACUCCCUCCCAGACCCUCCCACCUCCUGGACAGCUCACUAAGAAUGCAGCUUCACAAUGAAUGUAAAAUGGAUGCUGUCCAGGAGGUGGGAGGGUCUGGGAGGGAGGGUCUGCUGCUGAUUGGCUGGAAUGUGUCUG